rnacentral:rRNA from 1 species
AGGGCACCACCAGGAGUGGAGCCUGCGGCUUAAUUUGACUCAACACGGGGAAACUCACCCGGCCCGGACACCGGAAGGAUUGACAGAUUGAUAGCUCUUUCUUGAUUCGGUGGAUGGUGGUGCAUGGCCGUUCUUAGUUGGUGGAGCGAUUUGUCUGGUUAAUUCCGAUAACGAACGAGACUCUAGCCUAUUAAAUAGACGUCGGGUUCUCUGCACUCGACGGUCUUCUUAGAGGGACAAGGUGCUUUUAGCACCGCGAAACAGAGCAAUAACAGGUCUGUGAUGCCCUUAGAUGUCCGGGGCCGCACGCGCGCUACACUGAAGGAAGCAGCGUGUAACAACCUUGUUCUAACGAACUGGGUAACCCGUGGAACUUCCUUCAUGAUUGGGAUAGGGGUUUGUAAUUGUGCCCCUUGAACGAGGAAUUCCCAGUAAACACUAGUCAUCAGCUAGUGCUGAUUACGUCCCUGCCCUUUGUACACACCGCCCAUCGCUACUACCGAUUGAAUGGUUUAGUGA